UCAAUAAGACAAGUCUUCCAUUGAGCAUGCUUGGGCAAGUACAGCUGGAAUAGAAAAGAUAGACAGUGGAUUCUUUGGCUUCAUCCAAGUGGGCUGAGGAUUGAAGUAUUUUUCCAGUCAUGUUCUUGAGCACCUACUUUCAUGGCAUGCUGACAUUUCCAGACUACUGAAGAUGUGAUGAUUAACUGAUCCUGCAUUUGGUGAAAAAAAAGUUUGCACAUUCUAAAGGAGAUAGGUUUCAAAUGACUAUAUAGGGUACAAUUUCCACUGAAGUGAUUUCUCUUAAUCUUAAUCCUUAACCACUCUCAUUGCUACAUUACCUUCCAAAAGUAAGCAUAGUUCAUAAAGUCUUCAGACGGCCUUUUAGCACAUUAACAUACUCUUCACAGUCCCACAAUAAGAGCACCUUAAGUGCAGGGA
rnacentral:lncRNA from 1 species